UUUACAGGAUGUUGCCACCUGAAACCAUGGUGGGCCAACCUCAUCUGGAAACCAACAUCUCCAAAGAAGCUGUCAUCACAUGUUUUAUUUUUAUUGGAAAGACAGAGAAGAAGUUUUCUUGAAACCGGAUCCUCUCACCCCAAAUAUCAACUUAUACGCCCCAACCCCUCUGAAGCGAACACUUGAAAUAUUCUUUCGUUUGAUCUCAGCAAACCAAAUGUCCAGAAUCUUGAAGCAAAGCAGAGACAUAACGAUUGAUUUUCAUCCACUUUUUUCUUCGAUAUCUCUGCUUUCACCCAAAUCGACGCUUCUCACAGGCGAUGGCCAUAGUGGACAGAGGGUUUGUUUUUUCCAGUCUGAUUCCACUAUCUGUUCCUCAAUUUUACAAGCGUGAGAUCAGGAAGACAGAGAAGAAAUUUUGGUUAUAUUUACUGCUGCUGUUAUUCUUUUUCAGCAAGAUGCCAAGAAGUUGGUUCACGUUAUGAGAUGUUGGCUGAAUUGUCGAGAAGAGAGGGAGAUGCAAACAUAAAACCUGAUCCAGAUAUCGAUGUCUUCAUGAAGGCUGCUGCUACUGAAGGUUAAGAAGGUAGCGUACUCACAGAUUAUACUCUCAAGCUAUUGGGAUUUGGAACAUCUCAUCUCUUUUGAAGGACAGGGUUAGGAAAAUUAAAGGAAACCCUGAUUUCUGUUGCUUCAUCUCUCAACAAAAUACUAUAAAUCAAG